rnacentral:lncRNA from 1 species
UUCUAAAACAAAAGCAAAAAUAAACUAACGAAUUUGACAAACUUAUCAUACUCAUUAAUGUGUCAAAAAGUGAUAAUACGAUGAAAUUUAAAAUAAGACCUACCGUAAUGAUAGAUAGGAUAUGUACAACUCAUGUAAAGGGUUUGUCUAGUAGAAGUUUGGAUUGGCCCAUGAGGAGCUUACCCCUAAAAACACAUGUUCAAAAAUCUCAUUGUCAGUAAUUAAUCUUGAGCCAAGUUCAUUUGGAACUCUGCUCUAAUUUUAAUUAGAUCCUUAUUAUUGGACGGUGGGAUUGAUCAUCUGAAUUUGUCGGUCCUUAGGGUCGAAUAGUGAGUUAUUAAAAAUAAAAAGAAAGAUUUGUACAUUUUAUUUGUUGUAAAUCAUUAAAUGAAAAAAAAACAUUUAAAAAUAAAAAUAAAUGCGAACCUACACAAUAAAAGAUGUGACCCCAUUUUUCAUCAUUAUCCCCGUCUCUUUUUCAUCAUUACCAUUUUUUUAGUAUUAAUUCCAUCAACGAAAAAGAAAAAAAUAAACUUGAAUUCAAAGUCAGGUAUAUAUAUUCCACAUAACUGCUGUGUAUAUUUCCUAUUAUGACCUCACUCUGUCACCACAAAGCUGUAACCCCACCGCCAUACUUAGCACAUAUAUAUAAAGCACUCCUCCAAGACUUUUAGCAUACCAUAUUCAACCUCCAUCUGAGAGAGUGGAUAUUCAUUGAGAGAGAGAGAGAGAGAGAGAGAGAGAAAAUGGGAACCCUAGAAGAGGAGAAGCUCUUUCAGAUAGUCCAUGAUUUUAUUGAAUAUGCAGAAUCACCACCACCCAUCUCUACGAGCCCUAAUCACCAUGCCAAAUGUUACCUAUUACAGGUUCCAAUUUAUUGCUUACCAAAUUUCAAUUCUCUUUCUUUCUUUCUUUCUUUCUUUUUUAAUUUUUCAUUUUAUUUAUUUAUUUAUUUGUGUUUUAUUGUUUAGGAGAUUCUUGGAAGUAGUACAGAUGCUGAGGCUGAGGUUAGUGAGAGUGUGCUGAAGCAUAUGAGAAAUAAAAUGGAUUCAAAGAAGACCAAGUGGCUAGUUAUGAUGCUAAAAAAGGAUGGUUAUAAUGCUUCUCUAUGCCAAACCUCUUGGCCUACUACUUUGGGAUGUCCAAGUGGUGAGUCUCUCUCUCUCUCUCUCUCACACACAUGCAACUUAUCAAAAUUAUCGUAACUUCUGUUUCAAUUUAUUUAUCCAUCUUCUUCUUUCUUUCAUGUAUCAAAAUAUUUGUCAACUUUAAAUAGUCAACUAUCAAAAUAGGAUAGAUUUUACAUCUAUUUUUUCAAUUUUAUAUAAUUUCAAAUUGUUAAGGAUAAUUUUGAUAAGUUGAAAGAUGAGAUAAAAAGUUUGAUUCCAAAAUGUAUAAAAAGAUUCAUUCAAAAUUACAAUAUUUUUGCAUAAAAAAAUCUAUCUAUAUCUAUAUCUAUUUAUGGGUUGGUUCUCCAGGUGAUUAUGAGUACCUGGAUAUUGUGAUGGAAGAUGAGAAUGGCACUUCGCAAAGGCUAAUCGUGGACAUAGAUUUCAAGUCCCAAUUUGAAUUAGCAAGGCCCACCACAACCUACAAAGAUCUCACCGCCACACUUCCACCCGUGUUUGUGGGUGAUGAGC